AUUGAACGCUGGCGGCAUGCCUUACACAUGCAAGUCGAACGGCAGCACGGGUGCUUGCACCUGGUGGCGAGUGGCGAACGGGUGAGUAAUACAUCGGAACAUGUCCUGUAGUGGGGGAUAGCCCGGCGAAAGCCGGAUUAAUACCGCAUACGAUCUACGGAUGACAGCGGGGGACCUUCGGGCCUCGCGCUAUAGGGUUGGCCGAUAGCUGAUUAGCUAGUUGGUGGGGUAAAGGCCUGCCAAGGCGACGAUCAGUAGCUGGUCUGAGAGGACGACCAGCCACACUGGGACUGAGACACGGCCCAGACUCCUACGGGAGGCAGCAGUGGGGAAUUUUGGACAAUGGGCGAAAGCCUGAUCCAGCAAUGCCGCGUGUGUGAAGAAGGCCUUCGGGUUGUAAAGCACUUUUGUCCGGAAAGAAAUCCUUGGCUCUAAUACAGUCGGGGGAUGACGGUACCGGAAGAAUAAGCACCGGCUAACUACGUG
rnacentral:rRNA from 1 species